rnacentral:rRNA from 2 species
ACUUCAGGACGGGGACAACAGUUGGAAACGACUGCUAAUACCCGAUGUGCCGCAAGGUGAAACCUAAUUGGCCUGGAGAAGAGCUUGCGUCUGAUUAGCUAGUUGGUGGGUAAAGGCCUACCAAGGCGACGAUCAGUAGCUGGUCUGAGAGGAUGAGCAGCCACACUGGGACUGAGACACGGCCCAGACUCCUACGGGAGGCAGCAGUGGGGAAUUUUCCGCAAUGGGCGAAAGCCUGACGGAGCAACGCCGCGUGAGGGAGGAAGGUCUUUGGAUUGUAAACCUCUUUUCUCAAGGAAGAAGUUCUGACGGUACUUGAGGAAUCAGCCUCGGCUAACUCCGUGCCAGCAGCCGCGGUAAUACGGGGGAGGCAAGCGUUAUCCGGAAUUAUUGGGCGUAAAGCGUCCGCAGGUGGUCAGCCAAGUCUGCCGUCAAAUCAGGUUGCUUAACGACCUA